CUCAUUGAGAGUGGCGGAGGGAAUAGGCCCGAAGAAACCCGGCAACCUUGUGCGCAGAAUACUGCCGGCGCAUAUCCUACAGGGACAGCGUUGAAACACGGAAGGUGCUAAAUCCUACAGGACAGAAAGAUCUGUUCUGAAAAAUGAGG
rnacentral:ncRNA from 1 species